CGCAGGAACCAGAUGACCCCUUCGGGGUGAUUCUGGCGGAAUGAGCGGCGGACGGGUGAGUAACACGUGGGCAACCUGCCUGUAAGACUGGGAUAACUUCGGGAAACCGGAGCUAAUACCGGAUAGUAUUUCCUUUCUCCUGAUUGGAAAUGGAAAGACGGUUUCGGCUGUCACUUACAGAUGGGCCCGCGGUGCAUUAGCUAGUUGGUGGGGUAAUGGCCCACCAAGGCGACGAUGCAUAGCCGACCUGAGAGGGUGAUCGGCCACACUGGGACUGAGACACGGCCCAGACUCCUACGGGAGGCAGCAGUAGGGAAUCUUCCGCAAUGGACGAAAGUCUGACGGAGCAACGCCGCGUGAGCGAUGAAGGCCUUCGGGUCGUAAAGCUCUGUUGUUAGGGAAGAACAAGUACGAGAGUAACUGCUCGUACCUUGACGGUACCUAACCAGAAAGCCCCGGCUAACUACGUGCCAGCAGCCGCGGUAAUACGUAGGGGGCAAGCGUUGUCCGGAAUUAUUGGGCGUAAAGGGCUCGUAGGCGGUUUCUUAAGUCUGAUGUGAAAGCCCACAGCUCAACUGUGGAGGGUCAUUGGAAACUGGGGAACUUGAGUGCAGAAGAGGAGAGUGGAAUUCCACGUGUAGCGGUGAAAUGCGUAGAUAUGUGGAGGAACACCAGUGGCGAAGGCGACUCUCUGGUCUG
rnacentral:rRNA from 1 species